UUCAUGUUUGAAGGAUGUUUUCGCCAGAUACAUUAUUCUAGGGUUAAAGGUUUUUUCCUUCAGAACUUUCAAUAUGUCAGCUGGGCAUGGUGGCUCAUGCCUGUAAUCCCAGCACUUCGGGAGGCUGAGGCAGGUGGAUCAUGAGGUCAGGAGUUCGAGACCAGCCUGACCAACAUGGUGAAACCCUGUCUCUACUAAAAAUAAAAAAAUUAGCUGGGCAUGGUGGCGAGCGCCUGUAGUCCCAACUACUCGGGAGUUUGAGGCAGGAGAAUCACUUGAACCCAGGAGGUGGAGGUUGCAGUGAGUCGAGACCGUGCCACUGCACUCCAGCCUGGGCGACAGAGUGAGACUCUCUUUCAAAAAAAAAAAGGAAAGAAACAUUAAGUUUAUAAAGUCAAAAAGGAACAGUAAGCUAAGGUGAAUUUAUUAUUGAAGAAAGAAAAAUAAAAAUAUACUUAGUGCAGCCUAAGUGUACAGUGUUUAAUAAAGACUACAGUAGUGCACAGUAACGUCCUAGCUUUCACAUUCAGCCACCACUCAUUCACUGACUUCGAAGAAAUUGAAUAGCAGGAAGCAAUUCAAAACUAAUUUUGAGGUCAGCAUUACCCUGAUACUGAAGCCAAAGACACCACAAGAAAAGGACACUACAGGUCAAUAUCCCUGAAGAACAUAGAGGCAAAAGUCCUCAACAAAAUGCUACAAAACCAAAUGUAACAAACAUAUUAAAAAUAUUACAUCGUAACCAAGUGGGAAUGCUGAGAUGCAAGAAUGAUUCAACAUGUAGAAAUGAAUACAUGUUAUACAUAACAUUAAAGGAAUAGAGAAUAGAAAGGACAUGAUCAUCUCAACAGAUGCAGAAAAUCAUUUGGUAAAAUUCAACAUCCUUUCAAGACAAAAACUCUGAAAAACUAGGACUAGAAGAAAAUUACCUCAGCCGGGCGCAGUGGCUCACACCUGUAAUCCCAGCACUUUGGGAGGCCGAGGCGGGCAGAUCACGAGGGCAGGAGAUUGAGAGCAUCCUGGCUAACACGGUGAAACCCCAUCUCUACUAAAAAUACAAAAAAAUUAGCCAGGCGUGGUGGCACAUGCCUGUAGUCCCAGCUACUCGGGAGGCUGAGGCAGGAGAAUGGCGGGAACCCAGAAGGCGGAGCUUGCAGUGAGCAGAGAUCGCACCACUGCACUCCAGCCUAGGCAACAGAGCGAGACUCAGUCUCAAAAGAAAAAGAAAAAAAAGAAGAAAAUUACCUCAACAUAUUGAGGACCAUAUAUGAAAAGUUUGCAUAUCAUAUAGUCAGUGGUAUAAAGUAAAAUUUUUCCUCUAAGAUUAGAAACAAGGCAAGGAUGCCAGUCUCAACUUUCAUUCUACAUAGCACAUAACACUUUUAUUCAACAUAGUUUUAGCCAAAGCAAUUAGGCAAGAGAAAGAAGGGCAGAUGAUUCCUGUGCCCCUCCCAGGUACUACCUCCAUGAGUAACCUCUAAACUGACUUUUAACAGCAUAGAUCACCUGUACUUUCAGCUGUUUUGUACCUUAUUUACAUGAAAUAAGAAAGCAUGAAUGUUUGUAUAUAUAUGUUAAACUGUGUAUGUUGUUUGAAACAUCUGUAUUUCUGCAUAAUUUUUUGGAUCAUUGAUUAGCAUUGGUGAUAGAAUUCCAUCAUGUGACUAUCAAACUAUCAAACAAUUCAAAUAUUCCAUGGCAAAAGUCCACCUGAGUGGUUUUCCUUCUGGAAAUAUUAGGAAUAGUGAUGAUGGGUAAAAACGUGUAAAAUAUAGAAUGUGUUUUGAUGAUGUAAGAAGGAUUUUCCUCGGGGUGUUACAUUUAGUAAUCAAAUUGAUGGGUCAUGUGUUUACAUUUGUUAAGCUUUAGGAGAUACUGCCACACAUUCUUUCCUAUCUUGUUUCUAGUCUUUUUCUAAAUUCGUAUUUUGAAACAACCUUUAAAUAAUCUUCUGAUUAGAGGCAUUUUGAGUCCUCCAGUAUCCCAGCAGGCAGUGCAGCCUAGAGAUGCUGACAAAGGAGCUGAGGAGCAGUCUCAGCUGCUUUCCAAGGAAGCCGGUGUUGCCAAGAUUGCCAAAAUGCUUUGGAGUUUUUAACUGAAUCUAAGAAAAGUGCAAAAUAGAUUUGAGACUAUAAAAACAGAAACUGCAGCAAGGGGGGGGGGGGAUUCAGUGCCAAUGCAUCAACAAAAAAGACAAGCAGAGUUAGUGGAAGGAAAUCUUCCUAUUUUCGUGUUACCCUCGGAGUUUGUAUUUUAUGCAGAUGAUCAGUCAACACAUAAGCAGGUGUUGACACUGUAUAAUCCCUAUGAGUUUGCCUUAAAGUUCAAAGUGUGAUUCAUUGUAGAGAUUUUCAAUCCUGUCACUAUGGUGUAAUAGACAAAUUCCAUCUCUAAAUUGCCAAGCAAAGCCAAAGGAAGGCUUUGGGAAGAAAAGAGGUUGUUGCUACUCUUCUCCCAUCUGCAAAAGAACAACAAAAGGAAGAAGAGGAAAAAAGAAUAAAGGAACAUUUAACUGAAAGUUUAUUGUUUGAGCAGUCGUUUCAACCAGGUAGUUUUGGUUUGUUUUUAAAGCCCUCUUGAGGUCUUACACAUUAUUAACUUUAAAAUAAUCAGGCAGCUAAGAAUAAUUACUAGAAAAAUCAUCUACCACUUCAAACAUAGUCAACUACUUCAAAACUGAACCUAGAUAAUCAGGUACCUGAAGUAGAACAAGAAGCCUGGAGCUGGACUUUGAGAGGAGGGAAAACCCCUCACUGGACUAGGCUGUAGGGAGAGGGUAGAUAUUGCUGUAGCCUUUUAAAUAUAUCUAUAUUUAAACAUAAGUAUAUCUGAGACUGCAGGCACCAUACUUUAUGAAGCUAGUACAGUUUGGCAGUUCUAUUCUUUUGUUUCCAUGACUUUCCUAUAUCCUUUCUCAUUUAAUUAGUUCCAAGGAAGAGAGAGAUUGUGUUUGGCAAUAGGCCACGCAUAGGGCACAGUUCAUAUAAUUAAACAAGUAGAUUAUAAUAUCCCCUGUGGGCUAUUAAUUGAAUCCCACUCCAGUCCUCAUUUCCUUCCAGCUUAGAUAUUCAGAAGUGUUAUGAUAUAUUCUUUCAACAUUGACAACUAGCCUCAUAUUCACCUCUUUGCACGUCAUUACCCCUUCCUUUUAACUUCUCAUUAUCUCCUCCUAAACUUGUUGUAAUAGGAGGGAGAUAAAAAUUUUCUGUAGAGAAACAGGGCAACUGAAAACUUUUUGAUGGUGAUAACUGAUACAUGAAUAUGAUAGCAGCUGUCCUUGAAAUUGCAACAUUUUAUGAAGGAUUAAAAAAAAUCUACUUGCUGUUACAUUCGGUCAUAUCACUGUUCAUCUUAAGAGUGUUUAUUUCAAUAACAGGGAGUAGUACCUUUUUGAUUUACUGUAGCCAAGAGUCUCUUCCUGUCCAUUAGGGACCAUCUAGUUUUUUUGGUGAUAACAGGACGAGGGGCUAGGUAGUAGCUAUUAGUUUGGUGCAAAAGCAGUUGCGGUUUUUGACAUUACUUUUAAUUGCAAAAACUGCAAUUACUUUUGCACCAACCUAUAGUGGAUUGUUUUAUUCUCAGCAACUAUUAUCAACUGACAGGACGAGCUUUUCAUCUUUUGAAGCUGAAAGAGAACCUUUGUCCAGUGUCACUUUGUCAGAUCAAUAUUGUAAAGUUGAUGUAGUUAUGAAAUGCCAAGAUUCCCUUUUUAAAAUGCUUCUUCUAGCACAAGAAAGGCCAUUUAAUUUGUGUUUGUUUUUGAAGUUACACUUGUAAUUUAAAAUGGUCUUUGAAGUUCAGUUUUGUAUUUAACACAUUGGUUUAAUAACCAGGAAUAAUAAGGGGUAAGAUUUAGGAGUAUAUGUGUAUGUAAAUAUAUGUAAAGAGAACUUUAUUCCUUUUAUUUUAAAAUUUAUGAAAAUUCAGGUGAAGAUCAUACUAAAAGGCUAAAUAAUUAUAGUAUAUAUUGUCUUAUUUUGUUUUAUUUUUUAUUUUCUUAGAAAGGGUUUUUCUCUGUCGCCCAGGCUAGAGUGCAGUGGUGCCAUCAUAGUUCACUGCAGCCUCCAACUCUUGGAUUCCAGUAAUCCUCCUGCCUCAGCCUCCCAAGUAGCUGGGACUACAAGUGCUUCUCACCACACCCAGGGUCUCACUAUGUUGCCCAGGCUGGUCUUGAACUCCUAGCCUCAAGCAAUUCUCCUGUCUCAGCUGCCUAAAGUACUGGGAUUACAGGCCUUAUUUUAUUUUUCUAACAAACCUUGGUAUCUAACGUAUGUUAGAGAAUUUUUCUAAUUGUAAAAAUGGAGUAGGCAGAUGAAUGAUGAUAGGUGAUGCUGGCAUAACACAUGGUGAUCUCUGUUUUGGGGGAAAAAAAUCUCUAAUCCAUUCCUGCAAAUAAGUUCAAUGAAGGCAGGCACUUUUCCUAGUACUGUUAUAUCCUCAGCACCUAGCACAGGGUCCCGGCACAGAGAAGUUAUGUAAUGAACUUGUAAAUGGGCUGAGCUAGGAAGGCUGGACUUCAGGUCUGGUAAGGGUCUGUGGGAACGGUGAGGUUUUUUGUUUCGUUUUGUUUUGUUUUGGCUUAUAAGGUUUUCAUGGUUAUGACAGCUCUUUAGAGGAAGGGUGCCACAGUAGAGCCCCAUUCACAGUCCUGGCCAACAUGUCCCAUUUAUGGGUAGUUACCCCAGUGUGCCUAAUAACCUGGAAGUAAGUUGAGUAAAGUUUUCUUUAAUAGAGUAUCAUGAUGACUAGUCUCCUGUCUAUUAAAUUUACAGGAAUUUAUGUGUAGUUUCCAACGUGUGGAAAACUCAGGUUUUUCAUUGUUUCUCUGAACUAAAAUACUGAAAUAAAUUGAGAUUGUUUUGAGGAGGCUUUGAAAUGUCACUACUUUUACAAGUCCUUAGCUUAGAGAACAUUUCAACAAAUGCAUAUUGUUAAAGUAUUAGAGGUGCAGCAGUGUUGUGAGGCUCACUUUUAAGCAGGAAAAUGGUUGAUGGCUACAUUAUGAAAAAUUUGGAUUUUGAAAUAUAUUGAAAGUCAGUAUAAAUGAGAAAGAAUUUAAGUUUAUUGUGUAAAACACAUAUAGUAAUAACAUAAGAAAAUGUACCUGUAAUCUCACACUUAACAAACCUGCUUGUAUAAGUGUUCCAUGUUACUUUCCAGACCUUGCCUAUGUGCAUAAGUACAAUUUUAUAUUUUGUGAGUUUUUUUUUUCCAUUCAACAGAAAUUUAACCUAAGGGAAGCCUACAAGGUAUACUUUCAUAAAAUACUAGCGCUCAGGCUAUUAAAAAGCUAUUUUAAAACAUAUAUCUCUGAAUCUUAGUGGGUUUGUCUUAAUUACAUUAUAAAUGAACUGCUAUGUCUAUGCUUAAAUAUUUGAGUCAGUGCCCUCUGGCUUAAGAAAAUUAUGGUCUUAAUUAUUGUUUAUAAUAAUAAAAAAUGGAAAAUAACCGAAAAGUCCAUCAAUUGGGAAUUGAUUAAAUUAUAAAUAUUCAUAAGAUAGUGUGCCAGGCAGACAUUUAUAAGGAUCUGAUAGAAUGAUGACUGCUUAUACAUUGUCAGAGAAAGAGCUUCAAAUACAUUUCUAAGUAAGGGAAAAAGAAGCAGUUAUAUAACUAUGUAUAUAAUAUGGCCUUAUUUAUGUAAAAGAUUCUUCUACAUGUUUAUAUGGACAUUUGUAAAAUCUAAAAGGAUACAUACCAAGAUGUUAACGGUAUUAGAUCCAGGAGGGUGGAAUUAUGGAGGAACAUUUACAUUUUCUAUAUCUUUAUAACAUAUUUUACAACAAUCCUGUAGUACUAGAGAGAAAAAACUUUUUCCAUUUUGAAAAAUUUCAAGCGUUUAUGCAAAUGCUUUUGGAAUACUAAAAAUUCCAAAUUUCUCUAAAUACUAAAUAUUCUCUAAAUACUAAAAAUUCUUUGAAAUUAUCAUUAUUGUGGGUUUGCAGUGAACGGUAUACUUGUCAUAAAUAACUGUUUUGCUUGAGAGUUCAUCCUUGCGGCAAAGAUAACUACAAAGGUACUCUAUUACCAGAAAAAAAAAAAACUUCUGGUUAGAGAAAGGUUUUCUCUUGAUAAAGGACACAAGGACACAUUUGUGUGCUUUCUUUAUUUUGUCUCAUUAAAACACAUCAUAUAUAUUUAUAUAAACAAAAUAUAUUAAAAAUUACAUAUUUGGCACAUUUUAUAUACAGAAUUAUAUGUUAAAAUUUUAAGUUGUUACUAAUGUUAAAGUUUUACUGAAAACAUAGGAAGUAAGAAAUACUUGUCGCAUAUCAGCAUUUUAUACAUAAAAUGGACCGGCUGAAGUGCGCAUGUGCCCUGGUGCCUAACGGUUCGGGUCGGGGGUGCCGCCAGCAGGUGGAGCCCGCGGGAGUCUCCGCGGAUGGCCUCGUGGGCCGGCUGAGGUGUGCAUGCGCCCUGGUUCCUAACGGUUCGGGUUGGGGGUUCCGCCAGCAGGUGGCGCUCUUCUCCGCGGAUGGCCUCGUGGGCCGGCUGAGGUGCGCAUGCGCGCUGUUGCCUAAAGGCUCUGCUGGGCUAGGUGCUCCUCCGGGCGGCUGGAGACUGGAGUGUCUCUGACGGAGGUUGCGGCUGGACCUGGUUACGUGCUGGUGCUGUGCUCCAGAGCGGCAGAAAGCGAGUGGGAGCUGAGGUGUCUUGAAGCCGGUUCCUCAGCCUGGGAGAAGAUCUGUGGCUUCAGGAUGGGGGUCAGGGGGUCGUUCCUGGCGGCCUGCAGGAGACGCAUGGCUACCUGGAGGAAGAAUCGUGACAAGGAUGGCUUCUCAAAUUCCGGGUACCGAGUCCGGCAGAAGGAUCUGGGCAUGAUCCACAAAGCUGCCAUCGCCGGUGAUGUGAACAAGCUGCUGGAGAGCAUCUUGCUCGGGCUGAAUGACGUGAAUGACAGGGACAAGAAGAACAGGACUGCUCUACAUUUGGCGUGUGCCCAUGGCCGUCCGGGAGUGGUAGCUGACUUGGUGGCCAGAAAAUGCCGGCUUAACCUCACUGACAGUGAAAACAGGACAGCUCUGAUCAAGGCUGUACAAUGUCAAGAAGCAGUUUGUGCAUCCAUCCUGCUGGAACAUGGCGCCGACCCAAAUGUUAGAGAUAUGUAUGGCAACACGGCUCUGCACUAUGCCAUUGAUAAUGAGAAUAUAUCAAUGGCAGGAAAACUGCUUGCAUAUGGUGCAGAUAUUGAAGCAAGAAGCCAGGGUGGACAUACAUCACUUUUACUCGCUGUAAAUAGGAAAAAAGAGGAAAUGGUGGCAUUUUUGUUGAAGAAAAAACCAGAUUUAACUGCAAUAGAUAAUUUUGGAAGAACAGCCCUCAUACUUGCUGCUCGUAACGGAUCAACAAGUGUAGUCUACCAGCUUCUUCAGCACAAUAUUGACGUCUUUUGCCAAGAUAUAUCUGGAUGGACUGCAGAAGACUACGCUGCUGCUUCUAAGUUUCAAGCCAUUCGUGGACUAAUUUCUGAAUAUAAAGCAAACAAGAGACGUAAAAGUCUUCAAAAUAGUGAUCCAGAACAAGACUUAGAAAUGACAUCAGAGGGAGAGCAAGAAAGGCUUGAAGGAUGUGAAAGUAGCCAGCCCCAGGUUGAAGAAAAAAUGAAGAAAUGCAGAAAUAAGAAAAUGGAAGUGUCAAGAAACGUACAUGCUGAUGACAGUGACAGUUAUAAUGAUGAUGUUGAUGAAUUAAUUCACAAAAUAAAGAACAGAAAACCUGAUAGUCAUCAAUUUCCCAGGAAGGAGAAUGACAAGUUUGAUAGGCUUGCAAGGAAAACCUCUAAUGAAAAGAGCAAGGUUAAAAGCCAAAUAUAUUUCAGGGAUGAUCUUAAUGACAUAACUGGGUCAUCUGAAAAAACCUCAGAGGAUGAUGAGUUGCCUUACUCUGAUGAUAAGAAUUUUAUGUUACUCAUUGAACAAAGUGAAAAGGAGUGUAAAGAUUUUGUUAGCCUAUUGAAAAUCAAGAAUGCAACAGCUGCAUGUGAAGGAUCAAUAGAGGAUAAAAAAGGUUACUGUGAACAACUUAAAGUAAAAUUUCAAAAAAUGAAAAAUAAUAUUAGCAUACUACAAAAGGUACUAUCUGAAACAAACAAAACCAAAUCACAGUUAGAGCAUCAGAAUCUUGAAAGGAAAAAAAAGCUCUGUAAUUUGAGAUUCAUCUUACAACAACAAGAAGAAGAAAGAAUAAAGGCUGAAGAGUUGUAUGAAAAGGAUACAGAAGAGUUAAAAAUAAUGGAAGAGCAGUAUAGGACACAAACUGAAGUGAAAAAACAACUUAAACUGACUCUCAAAUCAUUGGAAGUGGCAUUGAAGACUGUAAGAAGUAACUCAAAUCAGAAUUCUCAUACUCAUGAAAAAGAAAGAGACCCAUGGCAGGAAAAUCACUUGAUGCGGGAUGAAAUUGCCAGACUCAGGCUGGAAAUAGACACAAUAAAACAUCAGAACCAGGAAACUGAAAAUAAAUAUUUCAAAGAUAUUGAAAUUAUAAAGGAAAACAAUGAAGACCUUGAAAAGACUCUAAAGUUGAAUGAGGAAACAUUAACAAAAACGAUAACCCGGUAUAGUAAAGAGCUUAAUGUUCUGAUGGAUGAGAAUACAAUGCUCAAUUUUGAGCUAGAGAAGGAAAAACAAAGCACGCCAAGACUGGAAACAGAAAUGGAAUCAUACCGUUGUAGACUGGCUGCAGCCCUAUGUGAUCAUGAUCAAUGCCAGUCAUCAAAAAGAGACCUACAGCUUGGUUUCCAGAGCACAGUGAAUGAAUGGUGUCAUUUACAAGAAAAUACUAAUUCUCACAUUCAGAUUCUUUCUCAGCAACUUUCCGAAGCUGAGAGUACAUCCAGUGGCCUAGAAACUGAGCUCCGUUAUGAAAGAGAGGCUCUCAAAGAAAAGACGUUGGAUAUAGAACACAUGCAAGGAGUCCUAAGCCGAACACAGUGUCGAUUGAAGGACAUUGAACACAUGUACCAAAAUGACCAACCUAUUUUGGAAAAAUACGUGAGAAAGCAGCAAUCUGUAGAGGAUGGUCUAUUUCAACUACAAAGCCAAAAUCUGUUGUAUCAACAGCAAUGUAAUGAUGCUCACAAGAAAGCUGACAAUCAGGAAAAAACAAUAAUUAAUAUCCAAGUCAAAUGUGAAGAUACUAUAGAAAAACUUCAAGCUGAGUGUAGAAAGCUAGAAGAGAACAAUAAGGUGUUGAUGAAGGAAUGCACUCUUUUAAAAGAAAGACAAUGCCAAUAUGAAAAAGAGAAAGAAGAAAGAGAAGUAGUCGUGAGACAGCUUCAACGAGAAGUGGAUGAUGCCCUGAACAAACAAUUGCUGUCAGAAGCUAUGCUAGAGAUUUCAUCACAAAGUCGUGUUAAUUUAGAAGAUGAGAUGCGAAGUUCAAAGAGGAAAUUAGGCCAGAUCAGAAGUCAAUUGCAAGAAAUGCGGGAUCAACACACAGAGACUCUAAGAUGUGCUGAGGAGAUGCCAGACCACAUGCAAAAGCUUAAAAUAGGAAAUGCCAUGUUAAAAAUUAGAAUGAAAAACCGAGUGGACAAAAUUGAGCAGCUUCAGAAAAUUUUGAUGCAGCAGGUAUACAAGGAAACAUAACUGCAGAAGUAGAUGAAGAGUUACUGAGCAUUUCUGUGUCAUCUACAUGCCAUGAAAGUCUUAAAGUCAAUUGUCAAUUUCUACAAAAUACCUGCUUGGAUUUGGACUGUGAUUGCGUUAUGUCAUGAGAAAGAAUGAACAUCUUAACAAUGAUGAGUCUCUCAACUCGUGAAUAAGGCUUUGGUAUCAGGAUGAUGCUGGCCUCAUUGGAAUAGUUUCAGAAAGAAUGGUACCAGCUCCUCCUUGUACCUCUGAUAGAAUUCGGCUGUGAAUCCAUCUGGUCCUGGACUUUUUUUGGUUGACACUACCCAAAGCAGUCCUUCACUACAGUGGCAGAUACACCUGCAAAUCUUCGCCUAAAACAGUGACCUGAGGACCAAGCUAACUGCUGCUGCCUGGAACACUGUCCUUACCUUAGAAAUGUCGAGCAGAUUGUAGGAUACCCAAACAACCUUUUCAAGCAGAAAGCAAAUAGAUUAAGAAAGUAGCCAGAUGAGUUAGCGAACCCAGCGGUGACUUUUGUGUCUUUUUUUCCCUGUUCCCUUUUCUUUUCAUGGUAGAAAAGGCUGGACAGGGAUGUGUUGCAAAAGCAGUGAUCUAGCUUAUCUUGCCACCAACCCAGGAUGGCCCAGGAUGUGGGUUCUCCUUGAAUGAAUCUUUGGCAGUCUGCCAGCCUGACAUGGUCUGCCUCCUCCUUUGGUCUGAGCUUGCCCACUGCUUAGAAAGGGCCAUUGGCAGUUCUGGCAGGGAGUUUUCCCAACAUUGAGAAGGUGACAUUUUUACUCCCCGUUGCAGUCUGCACCUCUGACCUGUGGUCAGCAGACAGGACAGAGGCACUCAGUAGACAGAGCUCAGAGGACAGCACUCAGUCCCGGCGGAAGGUUCAACGUCCAGCUUUGCACCCACCCCACGUGGCCACAAGCAGGCUCCAUGACCUUGUGGUCAGUUUCCUCACCCUGUUCAGGAGGAAUUGUACUACCAUCCUGUUAGGAAAUUUGUGAGGAUCACCACGUUACUCAUGUAAGAUCUUUGGAGAGUGUCAUGUUACUGUUUAUUAAUUGCUUGUUGGUGGCCUGGCUGAGCCACAUCCUUUAUGAAAACCAGAACCCCUCAGCAGGUGUGGGUGUCUGUGCAGCCUGAGACCCUUGUGUGAACAGCAUUCUGGCAGCUGUUUUUUCCCCUUGCUACAAUCAGUGCCUCCCUGUCCCCAGGCAUUGCUUUCUCUGCUGGGUGCUCCACUGUUUUCCUACACCUCAGUUGUCUACAGGUGUAUGUCUGUUAUGGAAUCUAGCUGAGGUGGCAUCGAUAGCAGUUCUCCUGCCCUUCUUCUUAGGUUGUUUUUUGAGAGCAAGAGAGGUCCCUUCACAUACCCCAAGAACUUACGUGCAUUUGCCCACAUAGUCUCCAUUUAGAAAAUGGGAAAAGUCACGUCUGCCUACCUGCCAAGGGGGUAAGAGGUAAGUUUCUUGUUGAAAUCUGAGCAGAAAAAUAUGACCAAUUCUAUACCCACUGAAGACAUGUAUGAGAAAUUAAAACAGUUCUUUUUUUUUUAUACUUUAAGUUUUAGUGUACAUGUGCACAACGUGCAGGUUUGUUACAUAUACAUAUACAUAUACAUAUACAUAUACAUAUACAUAUACAUGUGCCAUGUUGGUAUGCUGCACCCAUUAACUCGUCAUUUAACAUUAGGUAUAUCUCCUAAUGCUAUCCCUCCCCCCUCCCCCCAUCUCACAACAGGCCCCAGUGUGUGAUGUUCCCCUUCCUGUGUCCUUGUGUUCUUAUUGUUCAAUUCCCACCUAUGAGUGAGAACAUGCGGUGUAAAACAAUUCUUUAUGGACUGUACCUCAUAUAAAUUCCUAGAAUUAAGUUCUAAAAAAAAAUUCAAGGAGGACAUAAUAAUUUUCUAUAAAUUAGAAAAUUCUAUACUGUGCAAUUAAAUAAAAUGGCAGCAUAGCUUUGAAACUAAAAUCAGAUAAGGUAAAUUGAAGUAUGUGAUGAAUAAAAAUACCAUAAAUUCUGACAAAUAUGAUUUCAAAAUAUGAUGUGGUAGAUUAACAUUGAAAAUGCAAUAAAUAAAAUUAGCCACCAUAAGAGGUUAAUAGAGAAAAAAUAUGAUUAUUGCAAUAGAUACAAGAAACUCAUGGAAUAACAUUCACCAUAUAUUUACAGGACAACUACCUUAUAAACUUUAAAUGACUUAUCGCAACCAUCUGAAUUAAUGUUGCUUAAACAGCAUGUAUCUUGGCUGGUUAAAAACCAGAUAAGAAUUUCCAUAACAUAAAUUUAUUUAUAACACCAUAUUGGGUGUGAACCUAUCAUAAAGUUCACCCAACUAUAAAGGUAUACAAUUGAUGAUUUAUUAAAUUGACACUGUGUGUAGCCAUCACCAUGAUCUAACUUAAAAAUGUUUCUCUCACUGAAGUUCUCUCUUGCCCAUGUCAAUCCCUACUCCCAUCUCCAGCCCUAAGCAAUACUGCUCUGAUAUUCUGUCUGUAUAAAUUUCCCAUCUGUGUAAUAGAAAUGGAAUCAUACAGUAUAUUAUAUUGGGGUCUGACUUUAAUCAUUUAGAUACUAUUUUUGAAGUUAAUUGAUGCUUUAGCAUGUGCCGGUCAUGUGUUUUCCUUUUCAUUGCUUCAUAGUCCAUUGUGUGGAUAUAUAAACAGUGUUUAUUCAUUCAUCAGUUGAUGGACAUUUAAUUAUUUCUGUUUUUUGUAUUAUGAAUAAUGCUGCUUUGAGCAUUCAUAAUACAAUCAUGUAAUGUAUAAUAACAUUUUGGUCAAUGAUGGAUAGCAUGUAUGAUGGCAGUCCCAUAAAAUUAUGAUAGAGUUUAAAAAUUCCUAUCACCUAGUGUCUUGUAGCUGUCACAAGUGUGUAGUGUAACACAUUACACAGGCAUCAGUGAUGAUGCCGAUGGAAAGGAAUCUACUGGUUUUCCAGUUAUGUUAAAGUACUGUAUAGAACAUACAACUAUGUGCAGUAUAUAAUACUUGGUAGUGAAAAUAAAUGACUGUGUUCCUGGUUUAUGUAUUUACUGUGCUAUACUUUCUAUAAUUAUUUGAGAAUAUAUUCUAUCUGCAUAUUAAAACAAACCACUUACCUGUAAAACAGCCUCAAGUAGGCCUUUGAGGAUGUAUGCUAGAAGGUGUUGUUAUCAUAAGAGAUGACAGCACCAUGUGUGUUUCUGCCCCUUCCAGUGGGACAAGAUGUGGAGUCGGAAGGCAGUGACAUUGAUGAUCCUAAUCCUGUGUAGGUCUAGGCUGAUGUGUGUGUCUGAGCCUCAGCUGUUAACAAAAAAAGUUUAAAAUUUAAAACUUAAAUUUUAAAAUAGAAAAAAUAUAGAAUAAUAUUUUAAAAAUUUGCACAGCUGUACAAUAUGUUUAUGUUUUAAGGUAAGUGGUAUUACAAAAUAGUUGUUUUUAAAAUUGUUAAAGUUUAUACAUUUUAAAUGUUACGGUAGGCUAAGGUUAAUUGUUGAAUAAAUAAAAAUAUAUUUCUAUAAAUUUAGGGUAGUCUAAAGAUAUGAUGUUCAUAAAGUCUAUAGUAGUGUACAGUAAGGUCCUAGGCCUUCACAUUCACUCACCAUUCACUCACUGAAUUACCCAGAGCAACAUCCAGUCCUAUAAGCUCUGUUCAUGGUAAAGUGCCCUAUACAGAUGUACUAAUUUUUAUAUUUUAUACCAUAUUUUAUUGUAGCUUUUCUGUAUUUAGAUUUUAGAUAUAUAAAUGCUUACCGUUUUGUUACCUUUGCCUGCAGUAUUCAGUACAGUUACAUGUUGUACAGUUUGAAGCCCAGAGCAGUUGGCUGUAUCAUACAGCCUAGGUGUAUAGGGGGCUAUGCCAUCCAGGUUUAUGUAAGUGCACUCUAUGAUGUCUGCAUAAUUACUACAUCACUUAAUGAUGCAUUUCUCAGAGCACAUCACUGUCAUUAAGAGACACAUGUCUGUACAAAUGACUUUGGACAAUAUGCUUUCAGUUCACUUGGAGCAUUCCUGGGUGUGGAUUUGCUGGACCAAAUGGUAAGUUCAAAUUUAAUUUUUUUUAAGAAACAAGAAAGCUGUCUUCUAAAUGAGCUGUGCCAGUGUACAUUCCUACCGUGCUGCAUAGUACCAAUUUCAUAGUACACUGUAUGGUAAGCCCCAGCAUGUAAGAAACGAAUAAAGUAACACAUAUGAAGAUUAGUAUAAAGCAAAUGAGAUUAUUAUUGUUGUUGUCUUUGUCAGAUUCUCAAAAUAAUUAAGAAUAUAUUUUUAUAUAAAUGUGCUUGGCAACAUAGCUGAAAACAGCAUUAGUAGUUAUAUACUUUUAUCAGUAACAAAGACAUAACAUUUUCAGGGAGAAAAACACUUGUAAUAACAAUGUCAGAAUUAACAUACAAAUUCUGCAAGACAUUUUUGGCAGUUUAAUUGGGGCAGUGUUUUGUAGACAAAUGAACAACUUAAGUAAGGGGACUCAACAAAACUUGAGUUGCAAAAGUUAUCUGGGUUUAGAGUGUAAAACUUCGUCGAAGGACACACACCUUGCGUGAAUGAGAUGCCUUGGUGUGUGUGGACAUGUUGGAGGUACAGCAUAAUGGUGGCUUCCUCCAGAAAGGGACAUUUGGGGUAGCACCAAUGGCUCCUGUCUCACAGUGGAUUCAUUCCACCUGGACAACACAGCCUGAUGUGGCAUGGACAUGAAUGGAGGUUAAAUGGACAGUAGCUGAGAGGAUCAGCCCUGACAAGGGCCAAGGCAAAAGACCUGGGAGUCUCUUCAGGUGCAAAGUCUUCAGUUGAAAAAAGGAGGUGGUCACAGGAGAUACUGAGCUGGAUCAAUAAAGUGCAGGAGAGAGAGUUCUUGGCCCUGGGGAGCAAGUAGUAUGGACUCUUAAGUUUUCUCCUCCCUCCAUUAAUUUCUCUUCCAGUGCAGACUUCAGUCUUAGACUUCCCAGCUGCCUUGAGGGAUUGGAUGAGCCUUGGCCAGCUCUUGAAGGAAACAAUAAAAUCACUUUAAUGUGCUGCUUUUCAUUUUGAAGUCAUUACAGUAUCAUUUGCAAAACUCAACAAGAAAAGAUGCCUGUGGAUGGCCGUGUUCUGGGAGUCACUGAGAUGAGGUGCUGCUUGCUUUCACCCAACCUGAUCUGGGGCUCAGACAGCUACAGGCCCGAGUGGCUGGGAGGUUUGGAGGGAACCAGGUUUAGCUGUGAUGAAAGCACCUUGCUGUGGGCUGGGAGGUGGGAGUGCAGGGCAGCCUGGGCUCCCCUGGCCCCUUACUCAGAUCAGCAAGUGCCCAGCGGAGGCCACAUGGCCCCGGCACCAACCAAUGUAGGGUCUGUGGGUCCCAGCAUUUCCACAUCCUGAAAAGUGAGACAUGAACUGUUUCCUAGGCAAGUUCUCUUCCACCGUGUUCUGGAUGAGGUCCGUGAGCUCCUUCCAGUUUCACAAAGAAUGUGCAGAAGGUGGAAAGAGUGCGGGACGCAGGCCCAGCUGCAGCUGCACUCAGGCCCCUCAGUCAUAAAGUCCGGGGGAGGGGCUGGGUAGGUGCUGACAGGAGGGCAGCCCCUGUUCCUCUUCCCUAGCCAGAUUCUCACACGUCCCUGAGGAACUAGAGAGGAACGCCUCCGGGAAGCCCAGCCAGGGCCAACCAGAAGGGCCUUUUGGUGAAGUCUGACAUCCUACAUUAGUUUCUCUGGACCUGGGUGAGAACCGGCCCCCAAGGGAAGGACUGUUUUGCCAGUGCCAACUCUCCAGCUGGGCUGUUGGUUCCCACUGCCUCCCAUCAUGGAUACAGAAAAGCAGCCAGGCUAUUCCUAGUGUAGUAAAUACAGAGCUGGCUGAGGCAGGGCCAGCUGAGGUGCAGACUCCAUGGGGUUUGCUGUCACUCCGCCAGCCAUCUGUCCAGCAGGCCUCAGCUUCACAAACAGGAAAACAGAAGGAGUGCAUCUACUCACUGGGCGUCACACUGCCCCCGCUCACAGCCACCACCUGCAUCGAGGCAACCUGCAGGCGGGAGCUUGGUUCCAGGAGGUGUCUGUAAACUUCGGUCCUGGGGUGGGCCACUGCAGAUGGCCUGUCCUUGCUUUCUCAUCACCAAAUCCCCGUUUUUGGUGCUGAUGCAUCCAGAUGUUAAAAUCGCUGACGUUUUCACAGGACCCACAAAGAGGGAGGGUCCAGGCACAUUUUUUCUUUCUGUAUCACCCUGGAGUGAUGGGGAAAUUUCCCCAAAAACCAUGUGUACUGUGAUUGCACGUAUUGGGGUGGGUAUAUUAGACUAGGGGGCCGCGGAUGGGUGGGGAAAAUCUUUCAUGUGAGGUAUUCCUCUAAGCAAUUCUUGACAACUCUUUUCUCCUCCCUUCUGGAAGCUUCUGGCACGGGAGGUGGAGGCAUGGCAUGUCAGGGGUGCAGGUCAAGACCACAUGUACUUGGCACAGUACACAGAGCUUGGCUGGGCUGUGGGUGGGUGAGCAUUGGCUGGGCUGUGGGUGGGUGAGCAUUGGCUGGGCUGUGGGUGGGUGGGCAUUGGCUGGGCUGUGGGUGGGUGAGCAUAUGCGGGAGGACCCUUGGCUUUGGCCACCGAAUGCCCCUUGCUGGCUAGUCAGCCGGGACCACCCCUGCCUCUCCCACUCACACAUUAGGCAAGCUCUUCACAGAUCCUGCGUGUGUCCUCAGGCACCGUCAUGGAGUAGCCCACGGUUCUGGAGUCUGUGAAGGUCUCAUGGUCGUUGCCACCUGGUAUGAUUUUGUCUCCAAAGAAAUAAAUGGCCUUAUAACUGUCGUUUUUCACAUGUCACAGGCAAUACCUCUUGCCCCAUCCAUCAGGAAAGACAUCAAAGCUGAUCUGGCCUCCUAUGAAAAACGUGAGGCCUUUUCCUGCAAACUCUUUCCUUGAUCUGCUACAACUUUUUCUCUUAUAUUUUCUUUUUUAUUGAAUUCGUAGAACUCAAUGCAUUCUUCUUGGCUGCAGCUUCUUCCAAAUAGGGGACAUGUUUAACAUCCCAUUUCAGAAUUCAAUGAAAGUACCCCUCUUCUUCAGGAGUUUAAUUUUUGCAUUGCAGCUCAGACAAUAGUUGAUUAAAUCUUGGAUUAGGACCUCACCCAGGUGACUUUGAAUAUUCCAUUUACACGAGCAUUUCCCAUCUUGGUAUGCUACCAAGCCAUUUUCUGGAAACACAUAAUCAUAUUUUUCAACCACAUCAUUUCCCAGUUGCUCCUGUGCUUCCUCAAAGUCCAACGUGCCCACCACUCCGAUUUUGAUCUUCUGCCUCAAUUUUUGUAGGAAGUCAUCCAUUUCUUUGGUAAUUUUCUGCUGUGGGGUGGUCAGGGUCCCAUCAACAUCCAAAAGGCAGAGCACUGCGCCGGGUGCUGCCAUGUCCCUGGUUUCCAACUGCACCUUACAAGACUGGUUGGCACCAGCCCAUGGUAAUUUCUAUCCUAUCUUCUGUGUGUAUGCACUUGAUUAUUCUAGGCACUUGAUUUUAGUAGAAUCCUACAGUAUUCCUUUUGUGUCUGGCUUAUUUCAUUAGGCACAAUGUUUUCAGUAUCCAUCCGCAUUGUAUCAUAUAUCAAAAUUGUUUUUUACAGAUGGAUGAUGUACCAUUGCAUGUAUAUACCACUUUGUUUUUAUACAUGCAUUUGUUCACUGAUAGUUGGAUUAUUUCCAUCUUUUGGCCCUUGUGAAUAGUGAUGCUAUCAACAUUAGUGUACAAAUAUCUGUUUGAGUUCUGUUUGCCAUUCUUUUUGGUAUAUACCUACUAUUAGAAUUCCUGGGCCCAAUGGUAGUUCUAUGUUUAACCUUUGGAGCAACUGCAAACUGUUUUUCACAGUGAUUGCAACUUUAUACAUUUCUACCAGCAAUGUAUCACAGUUACAUUUUCUUGUUUUCCUUUAAACACUUAUUUUAAACUAUUUUCCUUUAAAAAAAAAAAUUACCCGGCCAGGCGUGGUGGCUCACACCUGUAAUCCCAGCACUUUGGGAGGCCGAGGCAGGUGGAACACAAGGUCAGGAGAUUGAGACCGUCCUGGCUAACGCAGUGAAACCCCAUCUCUACUAAAAAAUAGAAAAAAAAUUAGCCAGGCAUGGUGGCGGGCGCCUGUAGUCCCAGCUACUUGGGAGGCUGAGGAAGGAGAAUGGCGUGAACCCAGGAGGCGGAGCUUGCAGUAAGCCAAGAUCGUGCCACUGCACUCCAGCCUGGGCGAUAAAGCAAGAUUCCAUCUCAAAACAAAACAAAAAAAAAUUAUCCUAAGGCUAGGCACAGUGGCUCACACCUGUAAUCCCAACAGUUUGGGAGGCUGAGGUGGGUGGAUCACAAGGUCAGGAGUUCAAGACCAGCCUGGCCAAGAUGCUGAAACCCCGUCUCUACUAAAUGUACAAAAAUUAGCUGGGCAUGGUGGCACGCACCUGUAAUCCCAGCUACUUCGGAGGCUGAGGCAGGAGAAUCGCUUAAACCUGGGUGCCAGAGGUUGCAGUGAGCCAAGAUCAAGCCACUGCACUCCAGCCUGGGCAACACAGCAAGACUUCGUCUAAAAAAAAAAGAAAAUUAUCCUAGUACUUGUAUAUUGGCACCUGUUUGUGCUUUUCACUUGCAUUUCCCUAAUGACUAAUGAUGCCGAGCAGCUUUUCCUCUGCUGGGUAUACCUGCUUUAGAGACUUAUAUAUUCAGGUACUUUGCCCAUUUUUAGAGCUGUCUUUUGUCUUUUUUGUUUGUUGUUGUUGUAGAUUUUUAGGAGUUUUAGAAUAUAUUCUAAUUUUUAAUUUCUUACAAGAUGUAUAAUUUGCAAAUAUUUCUCCCUUUGUUUAGAACUUUACAUGUACAAACUUCCUUAAUUUGUAUAAAAUUGAUUUUUUUCUAUUUAUUUAUUAUACUUUAAGUUCUGGGAUAAAAAUUGAUUUUUUUAAGCAUUGCCUUAUUUUUAGUGUCAUAUUCAUUAAAAAGUUGCUAAAUUCACUGCUAUGAAACCUUAUCCCAAUAUUUUCUUCUGAGAGUUUUAUAAUUUUAGCUCUUAUAUUUAGGUCUCUGACACAUUUUGAGUUAAUUUUUUAUAUGGUGUAAAGUAAGCAUUCAGUUUUUUUAUCUGAAUGAGAAUGUGCAGUUUUACCAACAUCAUUUGCUGAAGAGGCUUUCCAUUUUCCAUUGUAUAUUUAUGGCACUUUGUUGAAGAUCACUUGGCUGUAUAUGUAUGUGUUUAAUUCUGGGCUCUCUAUCAAUCCCAAUGGUCCUUAUGGGUGCCCUAAUUCUAGGACCAUACUUUUUGAGUAUAUGUAACUGUAUUGUACAUUUCAGUCUCAUAAAUGUGUGUCUUCCAACACUAUUCUUUUACAAUGUUAUUAUUGAAUAUUUGAGACCCCUGGAAAAUUCAUUCAAAAUUGAGGGUUUUCUUAUCCAUUUUUGCAAACAUGGUUGUCAGCAGUUUGACAGGGAUUGUGGUGCAUAUGUACAUCACUUUGUAUAGUAUUGCACUUGAAUAAUGUUUAGUCUUCCUGUCCAUGAAUACAGGGUGCCUUUCUACUUAUUUAUAUCCUCUUUACUUUAUUUCAGCAAUGUUCUGUUCUUAUUGAGGUAUAAGUACUUUGCUUCCUUGGUUAGCUAUCUUACUAAGUACAUAAUCAUUUUACAUGUGAUUAUAAAUGGAAUUACAUACGCAAUUUUCUUAUUGGACUGCUCAUUGUUGGUGUGUAUUAACAUAGCUGCCAUUUGAGUGUCAACCUUAUACUAUGCAACUUUGAACUUGUUAACACUAAUACAUUCUUAUAGAUUAUUUCAUAUUUUCUAUAUAUAAAAAGGUAGAGAAGUUACUGGCUUCAUAUCUAUUUUCUCAAGAUAUGAAAUGUAUAUUGCUACUGUACAGUUAAAUUCAUACUCCCUACUGAAUGAUGUCCUUCCAAAUGGCCUAGAUUGUUCAAAAAAUAAUUUGUCUUCUUAUUCCACAAUUUGUAGUUUUAGUUCUUUCUUCAUGAUGAUGUCUUUGUUUUUUUCCUUUUAGUAAUAUGUAGUAUUUCUCAUUCUGUUCUGCACACCAAGGCUCCCUGUUAGCUAGUAACUGGAAGAAUAUGGCAAUGUCUAUUUUGUUUUUGCUUUAACAUCAUUAAUGACCUUUUUAAUUACUAAUAUCAGAAAUUUGCUGUGAAUCUGGAGUGGAGGAAAUGUGCAGGGAAGCAUUUCACAAAUGAAGGAAGCCUGACCUUCCUUUUAACUUGGCUUCCUUCUUUUCCCGAGAUGGAAAUGUGUACUGAGCUCAUGACAUGUGAGAGCCUGUCGCUUUAGCUUCUCCUCAUAUCAUGAGUUUUCCCAAAUAUCUAAUGACAAUGUCUGUGUCCGGGUCCAUUUAUCUACCACAACAUGAUUCCUAAACGUAUUUUUGUGUAUUACCCAGAAUUCUCUACUUACAGACAUAUCAAUAAUAUACUUUCACCCAACCCAUUGCCCUCCUCAGAGGUAAGAGAUGCCCAAAAUGGUUCUCCUGUCACUUCAUCCCAAGCACUGCUCCAAGGCUGGGCUGUGCUCAUCUCCGUAGCCGGGCAGUGGGCUCAGGCAGAGCCACUUACAUUUGGGAGGAAUAAGUCAUAUGAGAUAAUAGUAUAUCAUGAGUUUAGAACACCAAGAUGACAUAGAAGAUCAUUCUCAUCUCCAGGUAAACUGGUGUUCAUCCCAUUGGACCAGGUAUCUGGAUUUUUUGUCAGGUUACUGGUUCAUUUUGUAGACAGCACGCACUUUAAAAAAAUUUUUUUUUGGAAGUAGCCACUGCAUGGAAUCAGGAUGUGACCAAAAGCAUUUUUGACACCUAGAGCUAUCUGAUUCCUUCAAAACCAAGUUUGGGCUAAGCUGUAGUGGUUAUUUUUAGACAAAACAGAUCUGUGUUAUGGAAUCAGCCCUGACUUGGAAGCUUAUCUCCUGGGUUUGAAAGCAGCUCUGAAUCUUGCUAAGUUGUGAGACCUCAGGCAAGUCAGUUCACCUCUAAUUGACCUUGCUGACCAUACACAACACACACUUUACUUUUAGUAUCCCAUUCAACCCUCACUACAAACUUCACCUAAGCUGUGGUAGUUUACUGUCCGGACUCCUUAGAUGGAGAAACUGAGGUGCUAAAUGAAUGUGCCCAAACUUGCAGGCUCCUAAGUGAAGGAGACAAGAUGUGAACCUAGACAUGUGGCCCCAAGGCUGAUGCAGUGAGUCGUUGAACUGCAGUUAUCACUCCGAGAAGAGUGGCUCUCAACCCUGCCAUGAGUUGUAACCAUAGGUGGCUCCUUCACUCAUGUGUGUCCUAGAUUUCUGUGAGUCUGCAGACAUCCCAGGCACUGGCUGUGAUUACAGGAUGGCCACAGUAAUCACAUAGCUUAGGGCAAACAUCAGUGAAUGUAACUGUAUCACUGGGCAUAGCCAUUGGUGUGGGCAGUACAGAGAGGGCCCAGAUACUUCUCAUGCCAUGGCCAGGUCACAAGUUCUGGCCACUGGGAAGCAGCACUGAGAGACUUUCAUGAACUUCUUUCAGUGCUGAGGACACUCCUCAGCAGUUGGCCCCAAACGGGUAAGAUUGAAGAAAUAUUUUUGAAACAGUAGAGUGUAUUAUCACCAAAAGACCUAGGAGUGAUCAAAUCCUGCAAGCUAGGAAGGCACAAUGACAAGGCAGCAAAGGGCCAUUUGGUGAUUAGUUCACCAAACUUGUUGCAACUGUUUGUACUGCAGAGUUAAAACAUACCAGUAUUCAACCCACAUCUCCUCUCCUGAAAUAAACUGUCCAACAUUAGCUGGCCAGAACAAGCACAGAUAUUCUUCAUACUCAAUUAAUAUGCAUACAUGACAAAAGGAGGUCUGGAUGAAAAAAUAGUGUUAUUAAUAAUGGUUAUUUUAAAGGAUAUAAUUUCAGUGUUUCUAAUUCUGUCAUUGGUUAUAACAAAAGGAUUAGUGAAUAAAUACAAAAGACUGUUUUGCCUGGAAUUUAAUCCAAUCUGUCUAUUAAACUUUGCUUUUAUUCAAGUGCAAAAUCCUAAAACACAUAAUAACUGCAGUGACAGCCAAUGUGGAUCCGUAGACAUAAAAUUGGUCUUGGGACGUAAAUCUUACAAGCUAGUAUCGUUUUACGGGGUUUAGAAAACCAUUUAGCUGGGUUUCAAAACCAGCAGUGUGAGUAAUGGGAUUCUCAUCAAAUUACAGCAUGUACUUCAGUACUGUUUGUAGACUGACUUAUUCUUGUUGCCUUAAGUAGCCAUUAGCAAAAUGCCAGGGACUCAGUUUCUUACUCCUUUCAUACUCCUCUUUCUUGCCUGUCUUUUCAUGAGGAAAAAUUUUCUAGCGCAGUCCAAGCUGUGCUUUAAACCGAACACAUCCACACACACUGUCCUAUUGUCUACAUUCAGUGGAGCGCCCUGAAUAAAUCACGAACAGAAGCAUCUAUGACCGACAGUUGCUCUGUGUCCUUCUAGCCUCUCAGGAGUUUUCAGCUCACGAGGGCAGAGGAGAUGAAGAGAGGCCGAUCGAUGUGAGGGUGAGGUUGCCUUGCUUUCCCUAAAAUAGACAUGUUCCUUUCUUGGUUGCUUUUUCAAUUAACUUUACAUGUGAAAAAAAUAACAAUGUGCAUUAUAGAUAUUAAAUACUGUUUUCUGGGGUGGUGGAAGAAGAGAUUCUUAGCAACUGAUAUGUAAUCCAAAAUGACAUUUACAUAUGAUGACCUCAGGUUAUAGACUGUAUCCCUGGGGUCCUUGUUCUUGGAAGCAAUGUCUUCUUGGAUUAAGCAUUUUGCACUUGCCAACCUAAACAGACCUAAGAGAUACACCUUCUGGGAAAAGCUCAUGUCUUUUCCAGUGUGCAUUGUACCCUUGUUUUGGGGGCCUUGGAGUUGACUACAGUUUCUGAUCCAGUUUUUAAUGCGCUUUGAGAGAAACAGAGCCAUGUGCAAACAAUCCACAGCUCAAUAUGCCCCUCAUACAGCUUUGUUCCUGUAUUGCAGGUCGUGCAGGCGGCCCCUCUGAGGUGUGACUCCAAUAAGUACUCUGGAAUUACUUGCUGAGAAAGAAAAGUCUGGAUUCCAAGAAAGGUGUGACAUCCUUGCUGGCUUCAAUGUGAAGAGCCACCCUGAUUCUGGGAUUCUGAUAGGAAUAAGGGUAGUGGACUUUUUUUUUUAAGUUCUCCAGGCAAACAUUAUGACCAAAUGUCUCCAUCUGAUGAAGCAGCUGCACUCCUAUGGGGGCACUGGGCUGUGUGCUUGCCUGGUGUCUUAUGAGUCUGCAUCGUGUGAUAUGAUUGUGUGUGUUUUAGUAUAGGGGAGGCUGUGUGUUUUCUCAGGAGAGAUUUUCCAUUUACACAGCACAAUUGCCAGUCUCUACUUCUAAAAAGUAAAAUCCACCCCUCUUCUACUCUCUCUAUACAUGACUCAUUCACCCAUGCCAGAGCCACCUUUUAUUACCCUCACUGCUCAGGUGGAUAAUCUGAAGGGCCAAUGGGAGUGGCCCCAGCUUUUGAGCUCCUGAAUGAAAAAGUCAAAACAUGAGCUCAGGUGUGUGGCCCAAUGCUGACAUGCACUUAUGCCUCAGUCACAAGGGUGUUCAUCACCAUGCAGGGAGUCCAGCAUUCAUGUACAAGCCCUAAAGCACUGAGCCUGAGAGAUCCCAGACUCUGCCCAUCACCAUAAAGUGACCUCCAUGGUCACAUAACCCAGAGCAGUUAUAGGCACAUCUUCCUACAGACCAGCAUAGUCAUCAGUGUCAAAAGCACAAAGAUCCCCGGAUGUUUUGGGUCAGCUCACAGGUUCUAAGACAUGGGGGACCAUAUAGAACAGUUCUGAAGUUAUUUUGCUCAACAGCUGGCCAAAGCUUAUAAGGAUCAGUGAUAUAUUUCAGUAGAUUUAGUAAUGUUCACAAGCCCUAAAAUGCUCAAAUCCUGCCAGCUAAAAAUGGUGAAGAGAGACAGAUAAGAACACUGCAGCACUCUGUGUGGUUUCCGUUGCCUCGUGGCAACUCUGUUAUACAUCUGGAUUAAGGACCCUCAGCCUCAACCUAGCCUUUCCUCCAUGAGGAACUGUCUCACUGUUGACUGACUAGUGUAGCCUGCCUGGCCAUUAGCCUACGUGAAAUAAAGUUUUGCUUUAAAACAAGUGUAAAUCUCAUACAGCAGAUAAGUGCAGUAGCAGCAUCAUCUUGCAAGUUGUGAAGAAGACAGCGGCGAUGUAGCUGGACUUGAAGCCAGACAGGAGGAAUUAGGGAACUCUGUCACUGAAUUACAGUAUGCAGAGUUGAAGACCAUUUGUAGACAAUUUCAUGUUACCUUUAGCUAGUAAGCAAAGGUCUCUAUUUCUCAUUUCUUUCCUGUUCAUCUUCAUUGUUGUCCUUCUUCCAAAAGGGCAAACAGCCCAAGCAGAAGGCAAUUUUAGUAUUAAUCUAACUAAGGUUUUGUGUAGUUUACUAUCAUCCAGGUAAUCAAAUAUAACUCUGCCUGCCUGCGUGCCUGCCUGUCCCCAACACCUGCUCUGUGUUUUCAUGUAAUAAAUAUUUUGGUGUUCUACUUACCAUGUGCUAGAUUUUCUGGAAACCACAAAGAAAAUGAGGUAGAGUCUUUAUAUUGACAGCUGAUGUUAGAUUUAACAUAACUGACAAAAAAUAAAAAUUGCAACUUUUAUAAAAAUACCUUUUAUAUGUCUGAAUACAUACUGAAUGUAAGGUAGUUAACAAAAAUAAUUACACCUGCACUCAUGGGCAGUUUCUCAUGAACUUGUCAAUUUCUAUUUUUUCUACUUCCUCAUUUCAGUAGAUGAUGCAUAUCUGAACCUGGAAACCGCUUCCCACUGUAGAGCGUGUUCUGAGUCAUGUCCCUUAGCUUCACCAGAGCAGGUCCAGCAGGCUCUGAGCUUGGCCUCUUUGCCUGAAGCGAGACCUCUAGGUAAUGUCUCCAGGGAGGGUGGCACAAAGGAUCCUGGAUCUCCUGAUCACAGCAGCCCAAGAGUGCUGUGUGUGCACCAUGGCUCAAGAAGAAGACUUAAAAAGGGGAAAGUAUGACUAUUUCUAAUCCGUAGUAUUUCAGUAUUUUUAAUGUUUCGGUUAUCUGUAUGAAAAAGAAUUUGUGAUAAAUAGAAUAAUUUGCCUAAAAUUGAAUCUAUUUCACCAAUAAAAUUGGCUUUUAAUCAAGUGAUAAAUCCUGUAAAAUAGAUAAUAGAUGCAGUACCAACAUAAUUUGAUUCUAGUACACUGAAAUAAUCUUGAAUAUGUUAAGAAAGCGUUGUUUGUGUAGAAGAGUUUCAAAUCAUGUGAGUGAUAAAGGGACCCUUCUGUUGAACCUUGGUGUGCAUUUUAGGUCCAUUUUGGGUUUACUCCUUUGUGCUGCUUCAUGAUGCCUUAGGACAAGGACAAGGCCUAGGCCUCCUUGUCUCAGUUCCCUCCUGCUCUCUUUUGCCCUCCUCCUUCCGCCUGGAGCAUGGCCCAGCAUCAGGUUGGCGCAUGCUGUGAUCAGCCACUUCCAUGCACCACACCAAGCAAAGCUCUCUGGGUGACACAGUUGCCACCACCAGGGCACUGACCUUUACUCUGUAUUCUCCUAGCUCCUCCUGAGGGUGCUGUAGGAGACAUCUGCAAAAAAGAAGAUGCUGGCAGUAUGCCGUCAACCUCAGAGGGGAGUAUUUACCUUGAAAUAGCUCACUUCCUGAGGAACAAACUUGCUGGAUCUAGUGUACAGAAACCUGAUUCUGGGUUCCUUUGGGAAGGAGCAUUAUGGGCCUGUGUGGGCACUGGAGAGCAUAACUGAUGAGGAGGACUCUCCAGCUCCUGGACUACCUCAUAUCACCAGCACCCUCUACCCAAGGUCCUGGAGCCAACACUGGAGUAAAAGAGCAGAAGAGAGCUCCUUAGAGGUGGAGGUGCAGAAGAACACAGGUGUUUGUGUCAGACGGCCAGGAUCCAAUCCUGCUUCUGCUGUAGUGCAAUAUAGAAGCCAAGAACACUUGACUCGUGUCAAGUCUACCUGUUUAUCCACCUGUCCAUCUGUCUGUCCAUCCACCCAUCAUCCAACCAUGGAACUCAGUGCCAACUCCUGAGGGUAUUGUACAGCACUGCCUAUGAGGCAUGAAGGAGUCUCACAUGAAGGCCGCCUGCAUCCUGGAGGAGUUCCUGAAGCUGCUGCCCAUGUUUCUCACAGGGAGGCCAGGGAAGAUCUGUACACAGGCAAGCCGUGAACUGAGGACUUCCCUUUCAGGCCUUCCCAACGGGGCAGGAUGGAAGUAAGAGCCCCACUAGUCUCCCCUUAACCUGGAGUCCCCCGCUAUCCACAGCUCGCUCAUUGGAGGGGACACACUGGGCACCCAGGCCUCAAGGUAAUUGGGGAGGGACAGUCCCAAGGCCUCACCUGGCCCUGAUCCUGGCUCUGCACAAAGGCAAUAAGAGAGGGAUGGUGCUAAGAAGGAUGACGUGCUGCUGUGGAAGAUGCUGGACUGAAAUUCAGGAGGCCAAAGAUGCAGUGGUCUCAUAGGAAGAUACCCUCUGAGGUCAAAUCAUUGGGCUUGUGGCCAUGAGACCACAGACUUUGCCUGGCUUCCAGUGACUGUCCAAGAUGACCGUGGAGUGCACCGCCUGUACUUGGACAUCACCGUCUUUUCGGAUCCAUACCCAUCAUCCUUGGAAUUUCCCCUGUAUCCAAACCUGUUCCUGAUACAGGUGUGAGUAAUGAAUAACCCUAAGGAAUAUCUUGGAUGUCUUCACGGGGCUUAUGACUUAUUCUGAGGUUUGCAAAAUAAAGGCCCCCAGCUGAGCAAAGAUAGGGCUACAGCGCCGAGGGAACAGCGGCCGGACCCACCGGAGAGGCCUCCUGGAGCAUGCCGGGACCCCCUCCACCCCCUGGCUUUGGCUGCAUCCAUGGCUAGUUUGCCUGAACUAUAUCUGAGCCACUGAGAGUAUUUAUUAAGCAGAGAAUAAUUUUGAGUUUCACUUUUAUAACUUUUGUUUGAAAAGUUGUUUGUGGAUAAUUUAAUGAAAUGACUGUAAACCAGAAUUCCUCUUUUCAUUAUUUCUUUGUGUCGAUAUAAAAAGAGUUGAUGAUUUUAAAAGCCAGUGAGAUGCCCCUGUCUGUGGAUGUCAGCGGGAGCAUGGGGUCUGAAGCCUUUCUCUGGUGGCUCUCCAGGAAGAUUGCCCGAGCUUGCACUCCCUUUUGGCGGGUUCCAGAGCCUUCCAUUUGAAAGGAGCGUCUCUCCCCACUCUGCCCCACCCAGCACCAGCUCUUCUGGAGCCCACUGACUUUCUAAACACUUUCUUCCUCCUUCACCUCAUUGAAUUCAAGACUUUAGAAAAUAGCCAAAAACUCUAGAGGUGGGAGUGGGUGUGAUCUGGAAAUCCCCGCUGUGAUCUUUUUAAGGGAAUCCACUGGAAAUUAUUAAUUUAUGUUUUAAAUAAAACCAUUCCUUAUUUAAUAGAAUAUUAAGCCACUCACUUUUUAACAGAACUUUGAGAUAUAAUUAAAAUGCCAUAAAUUUCACCCCCACACAGUGUACAGUUCCAAGGUUUCCAAUAUAGUCACAGAGGUCUCUGCAACAAUUACCACAAUUUUAGACAUGAAGACCAUUUGUUGGCAGCCCUACCUGUAUCUACAUGUAUAUAUAUAAUUUUAAUAUUGGAUUAGAUAUUAUAGUAUUUAAUAUUGUACUGUUACCUAUUUGUGUCUUUAUAUUGCUGUUUUUUAUUCAGAUGAAUAAUAAUUAUCUCCAUAUAGUCAUACGUUUAUAUAGGGUUAAAACAUAUCUUUUUACAAUUCAAUAAAUUAAAUUGGCCAGG